rnacentral:sRNA from 1 species
AGCCCCGUCCCAGCAUACUCUCCGGGUCCUCGCUGGCGGUGGGCGGGCCAGGGAGGACAAGCACUGGAGGGCAAAGGUGCUAUUUGUUUCUCUGCCUGUUUUCCUACACUGCAGCUGAACAUCACUGUUACAUAAAGCUGACUGCCUAGGCAUCUGUAGGACAACACCUCAAGCUCUUGGCAUCUUGCAUUUUGCAUCAGUGUCCCAUCUGCUUCUCUAAGAUUGAGCUGUAACACAGACAAGUGGAUGUUUUGCUGCGGAAUGAACACUUAGCAGGGUCUGCCUCUUCCUCCUGUGUUGUGACCCAAUUCCUCAGCACAGGGAGUAAGCCCACACCAGUUAUCCUAUUGAAAGAGGGGACUGAUAGCUCCCAAGGCAUCCCCCAGCUUGUGAGUAACAUCAGUGCCUGCCAGGUGAUUGCUGAGGCUGUAAGAACUACCCUGGGUCCCCGUGGCAUGGACAAGCUUAUUGUAGAUGGCAGAGGCAAAGCAACAAUUUCUAAUGAUGGGGCCACAAUUCUGAAACUUCUUGAUGUUGUCCAUCCUGCAGCAAAGACUUUGGUAGACAUUGCCAAAUCCCAAGAUGCUGAGGUAGG